CCCAGACUCCUACGGGAGGCAGCAGUGGGGGAUAUUGCACAAUGGGGGGAACCCUGAUGCAGCGACGCCGCGUGGGUGAAGGAGCGUUUCGGCGCGUAAAGCCCUAUCGGCAGGGAAGAAGGAGGACGGUACCUGACUAAGAAGCCCCGGCUAACUACGUGCCAGCAGCCGCGGUAAUACGUAGGGGGCAAGCGUUAUCCGGAUUUACUGGGUGUAAAGGGGGCGCCGACGGCAGCGCAAGCCAGGAGUGAAAGCCCGGGGCCCAACCCCGGGACUGCUCUUGGAACUGCGCGGCUGGAGUGCAGGAGGGGCAGGCGGAAUUCCUGGUGUAGCGGUGAAAUGCGUAGAUAUCAGGAGGAACACCGGUGGCGAAGGCGGCCUGCUGGACUGCGACUGACGUUGAGGCCCGAAAGCGUGGGGAGCAAACAGGAUUAGAUACCCCAGUA
rnacentral:rRNA from 1 species